UACGGGGGGGGCAAGCGUUGUUCGGAAUUACUGGGCGUAAAGGGCUCGUAGGCGGCCAACUAAGUCCGACGUGAAAUCCCAAGGCUUAACCUUGGAACUGCGUCGGAUACUGGAUGGCUUGAGUUUGGGAGAGGGAUGCGGAAUUCCAGGUGUAGCGGUGAAAUGCGUAGAUAUCUGGAGGAACACCGGUGGCGAAGGCGGCUCACUGGACUGGUAUUGACGCUGAGGUGCGAAAGCGUGGGGAGCAAACAGG
rnacentral:rRNA from 1 species